CGAACGGAGCACCCCUGAAGGAGUUUUCGGACAACGGAAGGGAAUGCUUAGUGGCGGACUGGUGAGUAACGCGUGAGGAACCUGCCUUUCGGAGGGGGACAACAGUUGGAAACGACUGCUAAUACCGCAUGACGUAUCGGGAUCGCAUGGUCUUGAUACCAAAGAUUUUAUCGCCGAAAGAUGGCCUCGCGUCUGAUUAGCUAGUUGGUGGGGUAACGGCCUACCAAGGCGACGAUCAGUAGCCGGACUGAGAGGUUGGCCGGCCACAUUGGGACUGAGAUACGGCCCAGACUCCUACGGGAGGCAGCAGUGGGGAAUAUUGGGCAAUGGACGCAAGUCUGACCCAGCAACGCCGCGUGAAGGAAGAAGGCUUUCGGGUUGUAAACUUCUUUUAAGGGGGAAGAGCAGAAGACGGUACCCCUUGAAUAAGCCACGGCUAACUACGUGCCAGCAGCCGCGGUAAUACGUAGGUGGCAAGCGUUGUCCGGAUUUACUGGGUGUAAAGGGCGUGCAGCCGGAGAGACAAGUCAGAUGUGAAAUCCACAGGCUCAACCUGUGAACUGCAUUUGAAACUGUUUCCCUUGAGUAUCGGAGAGGUCAUCGGAAUUC
rnacentral:rRNA from 1 species